CUGCCAGUAGUCAUAUGCUUGUGUUAAAGAUUAAGCCAUGCAUGCCAGAGUAUAGGUGGACAAAGAACCGAGACUGCGGAUGGCUCAUUAAAUCAGUCAGAAUUAGUUUGGUGAAGCGUGGAAUGAGAAGGAUAACCCUGUUAAUUGUAGAGCUAAUACAAGAAAAGGAUAUUGGAUGGUGUGGUGUUUAUUGCACCGGUCCAAUAGCAUUUAUCAGCUCGGUUUUCGUUGUUGUGUGUGAUUUCAGUCAUGGGGCGACCUGUGGUUGACAGCAGCGAGAAUGGAGAUGACAAGGGAGAGUGUGCCUGGGGGAGCAAGGCCCAAGAGUCCAGGAAGCAAAAGGAAAAGCAAGUUGUGACAGUGUUGUGUGUGUGCGUUGCAUGUGUGUGAUGCUGGGAGCUUGAAGGCGACGGGGACAGAUGGGUGGCACUUAGGCAUGAGGACGACUUGUGAUCUCACAGCAAGACAUCCGUGAGAGCAAUGAAGAAGGAUAAAUAGGGGAAAGCAGUGUUUCUUUUUGUAGGGGCAACUCGAUGAGAAGGAGUGCUGUGGAAGCCAGACAGCGAGUCGUGAGAACUUGAAUGGCGACAUUUGAGGACGAUGGACCAAAGAAAAGACUGACCUAUCAAGUUGAUGGUAGGAUAGGGGCCUACCAAGCUAAUAACGGGUGACGGGGAAUUAGGGUUUGAUUACGGAGAGGGAGCCUGAGAAAUGGCUACCACUUCCAAGGAAGGCAGCAGGCGCGUAAAUUACUCAGUGCCACAGGGCGAGGUAGUGACGACAAAUACUGAUGUUUUCUUGGCAUUUAGCUGAGGGAGCAAUUGGAAUGAAAGCAAGACAAAGAUAUGGGAGGAGUAGCAAUUGGAGGGCAAGUCUGGUGCCAGCAGCCGCGGUAAUUCCAGCUCCAAGAGUGUAUAUUAAAGCUGUUGCGAUUAAAACGCUCGUAGUUUAUGUGAUGGUUUUGUUUGUAGUGUUGUGUGUAAGACCAUGUUUUUAGGCAUGGUUUGGCAGACAGGAUGACAAGACAGGACAGGUGGUGCAGUUUGGAGAUUGUGCUUGGAUGGACGAUAAGGAAGAACUGGAUGGAAUACUUUGAACAAAAUAGGACGAUAGAGGUAGAUAGAAGAGUAUGAUGGAUAUAUUAGCAUAGGAUAAUAGAGGUGUUUGAUGGCGUGUCAAAAAGGAGCACAUGGCAAGGGACAAGAAAUCUGUGGUGGUUGUGUUUGUGGAAAUGGUUUUGAUGGUGUGUAAAAUGGUGGCAGAUGGAACACGUGUUGCUUUUGCUACAAUGGACACUGUUGGAAAGUGUGAGUGGUGACACACACGGACAGACAAAGACAGCGAGGACAGAGAAAUAGACCUGUUGGGUGACUGAUGGGUUGACCUUGGGAUGUGUGAGGAAGACGGAGAGACGUUGAGCCAUGGGACAGACAAAGAAUAGGAACAAAUGGGGUGGUGGAUAUUUUCCUGAGAGAGGUGAAAUUCAAUGACCAGGAAAAGAAGGACGAGAGCGAAAGCAUUCCACAAAGAUGUUUUCAUAGAUCAAGAACGAAAGUUGGGGGAUCGAAGACGAUCAGAUACCGUCGUAGUCUC
rnacentral:rRNA from 1 species